GUAAACGAUGAGUGCUAAGUGUUAGGGGGUUUCCGCCCCUUAGUGCUGCAGCUAACGCAUUAAGCACUCCGCCUGGGGAGUACGACCGCAAGGUUGAAACUCAAAGGAAUUGACGGGGGCCCGCACAAGCGGUGGAGCAUGUGGUUUAAUUCGAAGCAACGCGAAGAACCUUACCAGGUCUUGACAUCCUUUGACCACUCUGGAGACAGAGCUUUCCCUUCGGGGACAAAGUGACAGGUGGUGCAUGGUUGUCGUCAGCUCGUGUCGUGAGAUGUUGGGUUAAGUCCCGCAACGAGCGCAACCCUUGAUUUUAGUUGCCAGCAUUUAGUUGGGCACUCUAAAGUGACUGCCGGUGCAAGCCGGAGGAAGGUGGGGAUGACGUCAAAUCAUCAUGCCCCUUAUGACCUGGGCUACACACGUGCUACAAUGGAUAGUACAAAGGGUCGCGAAGCCGCGAGGUGGAGCUAAUCCCAUAAAACUAUUCUCAGUUCGGAUUGUAGGCUGCAACUCGCCUACAUGAAGCCGGAAUCGCUAGUAAUCGUGGAUCAGCAUGCCACGGUGAAUACGUUCCCGGGCCUUGUACACACCGCCCGUCACACCACGAGAGUUUGUAACACCCGAAGUCGGUAGGGUAACCUUUAUGGAGCCAGCCGCCGAAGGUGGGACAGAUAAUUGGGGUGAAGUCGUAACAAGGUAGCCGUAUCGGAAGGUGCGGCUGGAUCACCUCCUUU
rnacentral:rRNA from 1 species